ensembl:lncRNA
CACACACACACACACACACACACACACACACACAGAGGACCUUCACACGGUCGGGGCGUUAAGUUGGAUCCAAGACGCCAGACGAACAGACGUGACUCUGAUGCUCGUUGUUUCCUCGAGGAAAGCCCAACGCAUCAUGUCAAUGUGGUGUGUUCCUCUCGUGAGCUGCAGCAGAUCGCUGGAGACGUUUUAUUCAUAAAGACCGCCUUCAUUUCUGGUUGUUCAGCUAUCCACAUAUUCAUCGACACUUUGGGUUAACAUUUUGAAAUGAUAAUAAUCUUCUGAUUAAUUAUGAAUCAUGAUUCGUAAUUUGAUGAAUUACAGAUAGAAUUGUCUUCGCCCCCAUUCAACACCUGCUGUGGUGGGGGAUACUCCCUCUUAUUCUGAACGGUGACGUCGCUCUGUGGGGGGGCCCUGGCCCCCCGAGGAGUGAUGCACGCCAGUGUCUGAAAGCUCAAAUCGGAACACAUUUCCCUUUCACAACUUUCUUCCCGAACUUCCUUCACUCCGCUCUCCGACUGAAGCCUGAACAUCAUCAAAGACAGCGCCGACAAUAACCUCGUCACGGCGCGUUUCUCCCGCGCUAUUUACGGCACCUGGAUCGAGAGCGCGUGCACCGUGGCCCUGCGUGGGCGCGCAGCUGCCGCCGUUUGAUUAUUAGUUCUCGAGGGCGCACGGCAAGCGCGCCCCACCAGUGCGUGGGUUCAGCCUCCAAACGAAGCACGUGGGAGUUCCGAUUUUCAACUUAAGCAAACUGAGAGACGCGGCGGAAUGCAAACUGAUGUCAAGGCAACGACCGAGGAGGGGGGGCAGUGUCGCCAACUGUUUCUACAUCUGGACUGGGAACAUAACAGGUGUUUACCGCUGAGCCGCCAGCAGGAGAGCGCCUCUAGAUCGGAGCGACGGCGACACCCUCAGGACGACGGCGGUACUGCGUCACUAUGAGUGGAGAAGGGCGACACCUUCAGGGCAUUGCCGGUACUGCUGCACAAUGAGUGGAGAAGGGCGACAUCCUCAGGGCGGUGGCGGUACCGUUGCUCAACGAUCGGAGAAACCAAAGGAGUCUUAAAAUAAACGCAGUGAACGCGGAGAGGCGCUUAUUCACAUGAAAUAUCACAUAUCUCCAUCUAAUUAGAUCUUGAUUAAAUAUAAAGUAGCCCCCGGCAACACAUUUUGAGUACCGGUGGGGCAGUGUUGUUCCUCAUUAAAGCUAUUUAUUGACCCUCACCGAAACACAUUCUAACUUUGGAAAUAUGAACAAUUAUAAGCAGACGAUAGCAUCAGGAACGUGCGUAGUCAAGUGUUGACUUAAAGCAGAUUAAUUAAGCGAUUGCAGCUUCG